AUUGAACGCUGGCGGCAGGCCUAACACACGCAAGUCGAACGGUAACAGGAAGCAGCUUGCUGCUUCGCUGACGAGUGGCGGACGGGUGAGUAAUGUCUGGGAAACUGCCUGAUGGAGGGGGAUAACUACUGGAAACGGUAGCUAAUACCGCAUAACGUCGCAAGACCAAAGAGGGGGACCUUAGGGCCUCUUGCCAUCGGAUGUGCCCGGAUGGGAUUAGCUAGUAGGUGGGGUAACGGCUCACCUAGGCGACGAUCCCUAGCUGGUCUGAGAGGAUGACCAGCCACACUGGAACUGAGACACGGUCCAGACUCCUACGGGAGGCAGCAGUGGGGAAUAUUGCACAAUGGGCGCAAGCCUGAUGCAGCCAUGCCGCGUGUAUGAAGAAGGCCUUCGGGUUGUAAAGUACUUUCAGCGGGGAGGAAGGGAGUAAAGUUAAUACCUUUGCUCAUUGACGUUACCCGCAGAAGAAGCGCCGGCUAACUCCGUG
rnacentral:rRNA from 1 species